GUGACCCGCUGUGUCCCCAAGCUGCUCAGAUGUAAGCACCCUGCACAGGGUGCCUUUUGCAGUUGUUCCCAUUAGGGACCCUACCCACAGAUCUCCACAGUGGUACCACCAAAACCUCAUGCAUGCUCUUCUUUAAAGAUGAGUGUGCAAGAAAAAAAGUCAUUAAAUGAGCAGGAGAUUGAGGUUGAAUGGAACUUUCUUUGUAUAAACUCAGUUUACACAGAUAUUUGAAUAUAGCUACUUUAUCCUAUGUAUUAGGAAUGUAUUUACCCUAUCAUUAAAAAACAGAUCUUUUUCUAUUCUUUGCCUAAGAGCUUGUUCUAUAUGCCUAUCUGCCUUACAUCCUUAUCCAGCUUUUUGUAGGGGAAUGUGAAGGGAGUCUUUAGCAAGUCCUUUACACUGUCCAUAAGGUUACUAUGACACGGCAAUCUGGAAUCUGAUCUCAGGUUUCCAGGACCUGAUCUUGAAAGGUCUGGGAGGACGAUCUAUUUAUCUUCCCUGAUGAUGUUUUGUUUCUCACGGAACCAAUCUCUUCUUUCUGUUUGCUCCCACUUUGAGGUCGUAAUCCCCUGUUUGUGAUACCAGCAGGAUUCCCACAGCAACAGAUUAUGAUGUCACAGGCAGAGAUUUAUGAAGCCAUAGGCAGAGAAGCAGGAAGAAGGGCUCUGUUGUGAGACGUCCCAGUCUGCGAAGUCUUUUUUUAGUAAUUGCCCAAGUGGGAGGAAACCCAUCUCACAGAAGUUAUAUUUUAACCAUCUAAGCAACUGGUUUUCAAAGUGUGACAGAGCAUGGAUAUUCAACAGCAGGUUUUCUGCUUUAAAGCCCAUUCAUAAAUCCUGAAUGAAUACUCUCAAAACCUUUGAGGCGAUUUCACGUGUCACUAACAAAAGGAGGAAAAUGCAUUGGCAUGGACAACAGUUAUAUCGAAUGUCUUUGUAAAACGAAAGAAGAGUCACUGUUGUUAACUUAGAGCAGCGUGAAAAUGCUUGGGCUAAUUUUAAACAAGCAGCCUUUGAAACAAUCUAUCUGCGUGGUGCUAAGCAUGGACUCUCUUGGUUUGCUUCUGAGCAGAAGACUUGACUAUCUGUGGGAAAGAAGGCAGAUGGGAGAGAAGAUGCCUAGUUGUAAAAUAAAAGAUUGAAAGGACAAAGAAUAAUGGAAGAACUUCUAUUUUUGACAGCUAUACAUCUUAAAUGCAUACAAAACUUAAAAUUUGGAAGGCAGCACACUCCCAAACACUUCGCAGUUGCUGUCAUUGGGCAUUUUGUGUCAGAAAUAUGAUUCUGACUGACAUUUGUGGGAGUAGCAUUCACAGGAAAGAUUGUACUGAAAAGUAGCUUUGAUUUGGCAUGUCUAUAUUGUACCAUAAAACAUAGUAUAGAUAUUCC
rnacentral:lncRNA from 1 species